UGACAACAUUUACUAUUUUUCAAAAAUCCAAGUUUUCGAUUGCUCAAAACUGCCGAAUAUGGUAGACUGUAGUAAAACAGUCAUAUCUCCUACAAUACUUCGAGUUUUUGACUCUACUUUUUUUUAUAUGAAAAUAGACUCGAUGACCUUUCUUUUGGUAUGAGUCUCGAGUCCAAGAGGUGUCGGAGUAAGAACAGGUUAGAUUUUGAAGUUGAGUCAGUGUAAAAAACAGAGCAUGUUUUGAUAAUGUUUGAUUGUGUUUUCUUAUGUGCCUUAUGUGAUUGUGUUGUCUAUGUGUUGAAUGAGAUUAGACGAGCCUUAUAUGAGAGAUAAAUCGAGACUUAGUACCAUGAUUUUCUUGAAACCUAUCCUUGAACUUAAGGAUUUGAGAUGAGUGGAGAGUUAAUAUAGAGUUGAGUAAAGAGAUAGAACAUGAGAUAGAGCAUGAGUUAAGGCUUUAUGAGUAUGGAUUUUAAAAGGAUUAAAAUGUUUUAAAUCAAUUCCUUUUUAAUGGAGUUUAAAAUGCUUAUUUAAGUCAUUUAUAAAUGAAUAAUGAGAAAUGCGUAAAGGAGUUCGUAAAUGAAUCGCGGCAUGAGAUUUUCAAUUUCCCUAGUAAACUAGGGAGAUAUUAUGAAGGAACAAGCAAUGAACGAGAUUCUCACCACCGAGUCACUACAACAAUUGGAGAAGGAAAAAGUUCACGCACAAACAAGAUAUGUACACCACCUCAAGAUGGAGGUAAAGAAAAAGGAAAUGGAAGGAAAGCACUAGAACUAAACUUAAGGUAUAACCC
rnacentral:lncRNA from 1 species